UAACAGGUGUUUGUCUUACCUAUUCAUUACUUUCUGAGCUGUCCUCAGUGGACAAUUUAUCACCCUCUCCUCUUUAUAACAUCUUUACAUGCUUGAACACUAUCAUGUCCCCUCCCUCCCCUCAGUCUUAGCUCCAAACAAAACACACCCAUUUUUUCCAAUCUUUCCUAAUUUUUUAGACCUUAAAGCAUUUCUCUUACUCUCCUGUGGGCAUGUUCCAAUUUGUUCACAUCCUUCCAGAAUUGGACACAAUAUUUCAGUGGAGGCCUUAUCAGUGCUGAGUAGAGUGGAAGAAUUACUUCUUGUGUCUUGCUUACAACACUCCUGCUAAUACAUCUCAGAAUGGUGUCCACUUUUUUGGUAACAGUUUAACAUUGUUGACACAUAUUUCGUUUGUGAUCCGCUAUAACCCCCAGAUCCUUUUCUGCAGAACGUCUUCCUAGGCAAUCAUUUUCCAUUUGUGUAAUUGAUAAUCAAUUUGUCUUUUUCUUAAGACUCAUCAUUGGUCAAAUCAAGCAAGGCAACAAUGGCACUUCUAGAACGGAGAGGCAAAGAACGGGACUACAGAGGUGUCAUUUUCACUAAUCACAUCCCUAAUCCACAGAGGGAUUGUUAGUUUAAAGCACAGAAGAUGAUGCAGAUUCCUCCAACAUAAUUUUGCAAAUCAGAGACAUUAAACAGUAUCAUUUUCCAUGCAUCCUAUGACGGCACAAGAUGCAUGAGCACAGCCUGUCCUGUGCAUGGGACACACAAGAAAUCAGAGCCACAGCAUACCCAGCUCCUGGGAAGCACAACUCUAAGGAGAGUCCUGCAUGGGGCAUGCUCUAUGGUGCAGUUGAAACAAAUGGCAAUGAGUUUGAUCCAUCACAAAAAGAAGAAAGAUAACCAAUUCGCAGCUAGAUUGGCAGAGACAGUUUGUGUAGUAUUCAGACACAGAAUAAAACUGUACGUUUAAUGGAAUUAUACACAGCCUGGUGAAGCAGACAAUAUUAGAAGCAACAUGGUAAUGAAUUAAUUGAAUGAAGGAGGGUCAAGAAUGAAGAUUUUAGAACAAGCAUUUGAAGGUACAUUUUACAGUGUAAACCUCUGGAACAUCAAACCCAGCAUUCCAGCUGCCUAACUAGCUACCAUUAACCAACUGACAAGGACCUCUAAUAAACAAAAUACUGCAUCACCAUAAUACCAGCAUGUUCAUUCAUCUUCCCUUCCCGUGCAACAGUGUGUGCUCCAGCGAGGCAGCGUGUAGUACAUUUUGCUGCCACCUAGCAAGUGUUGGUUCUUUCCAAAUCUCUCUAAGAUAUUAUUGUUCUGCUGCCCCACUGGAAUCAGUGACCUCACGCACAUCUCUCCAUCUACGUGCAACACACCCUAUCUGUUAAAUUGUAGAAGCCCUCAAUCGAUGUAAGCUACUGAACAAAAUAGUUAUCUAAGAGUAACAGCCAAGGACUGUAUUUGCUUAGAAUUGUGUAUGGCGCUGUGAGCUGAGUAGUCAUUUUUAUAUAGAAAUUUUCACAUAAAAGAUACUGUAUUACUAAAAAAAAAUGAUACUUCCUAUGCAUAUGUCACUUGAGAUUGUGAAAGCACAAAAUCCAGGCUUCUGUAGAAUACCUGCAUUGAAAUACUCAAUUUUACAAAUCUCCACAAGGCUAAUUCAGACAGACAAUGGCACUGCAUGGCCAUUUGCUGGUCACCUUUUAAGGGUGAUUUUUCUAAAGCCCCUGUAAAAGAUCUGCUCCUGUUUCAGAUGAAAUCAGUAACAAAACUCUAAUUGAUUUCAGUAAGAGCAGAACAUGAAGAUUGUGACAAACUGGUAAUUAAGAGUUAAUAAGUGAGUGGCAAGUAUAAUUAAGUUCAUUUGCUUAAGUGACAUCCUUAAUCUGACUGAUGUAUAAAGGUUUGCCUGUGUAUAUAAAUCAUUUAAAAGACAUGAAACAUGCUGUGACAGUGC